rnacentral:tRNA from 1 species
GCCUGGGUGGCUCAGUCAGUUAAGUGUCUGACUUCAGCUCAGGUCAUGAUCUCAUGGUUCAUGGGUUCGAGCCCCGUAUCGGGCU